UACGGAGGGGGCUAGCGUUGUUCGGAAUCACUGGGCGUAAAGCGCACGUAGGCGGGCCAGCAAGUCAGGGGUGAAAUCCCGAGGCUCAACCUCGGAACUGCCUUUGAAACUGCUGGCCUGGAGUCCGGGAGAGGUGAGUGGAAUUCCUAGUGUAGAGGUGAAAUUCGUAGAUAUUAGGAAGAACACCAGUGGCGAAGGCGGCUCACUGGCCCGGUACUGACGCUGAGGUGCGAAAGCGUGGGGAGCAAACAGG
rnacentral:misc_RNA from 1 species